CCCCCCAAAUCAUCUCAGACCUUUCAAGCGCUCCAUUUUUUACCCUCCACUGUCUCCACUACUGAAAAUCGCUCACGGAGGCGGUGCCACUCCAAUCCUACCCAAAUUCGUACUACACAAUCCCCACACCCUCCUAAAUCUUAAUCCCUUACCAAUUUCCCCAAAAUUCCCAUCAAACUCGUCAAAUUUCAAAUCUGAGAAGGCAGAAAACCUAAAUCCAUUUUUUUUUUUGGAAAUUCCGAAUUUGUUUUGGCUCAAGCUUAAGUGAGUCGAUUGCUCUUAACAUGAGCAAUCGAUUCAUGUUAGUUUGACUCAUUCCGAAACUAGCCUAACCUUCGUCAAAGAGUCACUGACUGGCCGGACUUUGUUGAAAAAUCGUUUUAAUUUAAUCGUCAUUCACUCCAUAGGUACAUUUUUUUUCUUUUCUGUAAUUUUUCUUUGUUUAUUUUUGUGUUUGUCAAAAACAUGGCAUUUCAUGAUUGUUUGUGUUCUGUUUGGUUUAACUUAAUUAGGUCAUUUUUGUUUAAUUUGCAGUAGAUUAAUAUUUAGCUUCAUAUAUUUGUUUUAAGUAAGUCACAUAAUUAGUUUUGUUUUUAGUGGUUUGUGUGAUCUAACAGCUUAGUGGCAUGUUAAUUAGUCUUAAUUUUUCUUUGAGUUAAUUAGAUUGGUUUUGCUUCGUUGUUUCUUAUAAAUGAUCCGUAGGUUUUGUUUUGGCCCAUUUGCAAUUAACAAAAAUUGAGGGGGGAGGGGUAAUCAGAAACCAAAAUUAGGGCAGAAUACUUAGGGGGUUUCUAGCAAAAGGUCUAAGGUACAAUAACAUAAAAGAAUUAGGUCAGAUUGGGGUAAAAGGGGUAGUUUUCAGAAGUUAAAGGUUUUUAAAAAAUAAGAGAAAAUAUCUGAAGAGGGACAGCUGUCCAAUUCAGUUAAAAAAAGAUGUCUUAUCUCCUAUGUUUUAGCUGACAGAAUCUUCCGCAUUCCUCUCUCAUUUUCCCUCACAAAAGCACACUCCUACACUUUAUAUAAUAGGCCAUAUAUCACUCACUCACACACACGAAUUAGACUGCAAUUUUUUUAGAGAUCUUUCAUUAUUUUUACUCUCAUUUUCAGUAGAAAAGCUUCUAAAAUUCUAGUCCUAAAAGCUACAGAAAAGACCAAAAACAUAGAGAAGAAUUCAAGCUUUCCCAUCUUUGUCCUUGUGUUGCACAUCUUUGUUAUAUAAACUUGAUUCACUGCUUAAAUUCCUUGUUCUACUGCUGAGAGCUGCUGUUGAGUUCUACUUUUCAGUUGUAAUUUUAUUUGGUUGUAAAGCUAUACUUUUCAAGUGUUUUCUAAAGGAUUUGGUUGGGGUUUUCUACUGUUUGUUGCUGGCUCUACUUCAGUUAGUAGCUGAACAUCAAUUUGAAGUUUGUUUCUGGUCUCUAUUUGGCUGCUUUUUAAAGUUUUAUCACUGCUAUCCAGGUAUUCAUCACUCUUCUGUUUAUGUGUUCAUCACUAGAAUCAAAUGAGAACAUGUUCAUUUUGGAAUUGAUAGUAUGUGAAAUGUGAAUCUGUUUUCAGUCAUGUCUAAAUGUGAUUUUGUCUUCCAUUACUAAUUUGUAUACUAUGACUGCUUAGUCUGAAUCUGAUAAAAAUGCAAUGACGUAUAGUAAUGUGUGAUAAGAGAAAGUUGUUAUUGUCUUGUGUGUUGGUAGCUUACAUGCCUAACCAUUAUUUGAGCAGGUUGUUAAUUGUGAAGUCAAUGGAAAAUUAAAAUCUCUAAUGAUAUGCAGGCUUGAAUGAAAAGAUGACCAUUUUGUGCUUAUAGCUGUAUAUUCUUAUAGAUGAACUAAAAUUGCAGGAUAAUUCCUUAUUCCUUAUUGAUUCCAGUAAAGAUUGUGAUCAUGAAUUUUAGUGUUAAAUUCUGGGCUUUCAUUAGCUUGAAUACCUAGGUUGUAAGUUUGAGGAUGUAGAUUGUUUACAAUCAGAUUCUCUGAUAAGCAUGAGGAUCUGAACAAUAUUAAAGAUCCAUUUUAGCAAUAUUAUUUCUACCAAUGAUUGUUCUAAUUACAUGAUUUGGUUAUUUUGUGCUUUGAAUGCGAGUAGCAUUUGCAGUAAUGAUUUUAUUCUACUUAUCAUUGAACUUCAAGACACGCUUGCUUUAUUAAAAUU
rnacentral:lncRNA from 1 species